UGCCCCCUGCCCUUCUCGACAACCGGCAACUUAAAUAACCCAACACAUUCUUUUUCGGGAACCGCGCUCCGUGUGCGGAUUGCAGACCUCCUGCCAUGCAGAUGAAGGGAGCGUGAAACACACGGGACGGUACCCACCUGCACACAAGCAGGUUAUUCUCAGUGCCGGCGGCUGGGCGGGGUUUUC
rnacentral:other from 1 species